CAGCUGUUCUAGUGGUCUGAGGCAGGUGUUAGAUUACUCAGCUGUUCUAGUGGUCUGAGACAGGUGUUAGAUUACUCAGCUGUUCUAGUGGUCUGAGGCAGGUGUUAGAUUACUCAGCUGUUCUAGUGGUCUGAGACAGGUGUUAGAUUACUCAGCUGUUCUAGUGGUCUGAGGCAGGUGUUAGAUUACUCAGCUGUUCUAGUGGUCUGAGGCAGGUGUUAGAUUACUCAGCUGUUCUAGUGGUCUGAGACAGGUGUUAGAUUACUCAGCUGUUCUAGUGGUCUGAGGCAGGUGUUAGAUUACUCAGCUGUUCUAGUGGUCUGAGGCAGGUGUUAGAUUACUCAGCUGUUCUAGUGGUCUGAGACAGGUGUUAGAUUACUCAGCUGUUCUAGUGGUCUGAGGCAGGUGUUAGAUUACUCAGCUGUUCUAGUGGUCUGAGGCAGGUGGUAGAUUACUCAGCUGUUCUAGUGGUCUGAGGCAGGUGGUAGAUUACUCAGCUGUUCUAGUGGUCUGAGGCAGGUGGUAGAUUACUCAGCUGUUCUAGUGGUCUGAGACAGGUGUUAGAUUACUCAGCUGUUCUAGUGGUCUGAGACAGGUGUUAGAUUACUCAGCUGUUCUAGUGGUCUGAGACAGGUGUUAGAUUACUCAGCUGUUCUAGUGGUCUGAGGUGUUAGAUUACACAGCUGUUCUAGUGGUCUGAGACAGGUGUUAGAUUACUCAGCUGUUCUAGUGGUCUGAGGUGUUAGAUUACUCAGCUGUUCUAGUGGUCUGAGGCAGGUGUUAGAUUACUCAGCUGUUCUAGUGGUCUGAGGCAGGUGUUAGAUUACUCAGCUGUUCUAGUGGCCUGAGGCAGGUGGUAGAUUACACAGCUGUUCUAGUGGUCUGAGGCAGGUGUUAGAUUACUCAGAUAUUCUAGUGGUCUGAGACAGGUGGUAGAUUACUCAGCUGUUCUAGUGGUCUGAGGUGUUAGAUUACACAGCUGUUCUAGUGGUCUGAGGCAGGUGGUAGAUUACUCAGCUGUUCUAGUGGUCUGAGACAGGUGGUAGAUUACUCAGCUGUUCUAGUGGUCUGAGGCAGGUGGUAGAUUACUCAGCUGUUCUAGUGGUCUGAGACAGGUGGUAGAUUACUCAGCUGUUCUAGUGGUCUGAGGCAGGUGGUAGAUUACUCAGCUGUUCUAGUGGUCUGAGACAGGUGUUAGAUUACUCAGCUGUUCUAGUGGUCUGAGGCAGGUGUUAGAUUACUCAGCUGUUCUAGUGGUCUGAGACAGGUGGUAGAUUACUCAGCUGUUCUAGUGGUCUGAGGCAGGUGGUAGAUUACUCAGCUGUUCUAGUGGUCUGAGGCAGGUGGUAGAUUACUCAGCUGUUCUAGUGGUCUGAGGCAGGUGUUAGAUUACUCAGCUGUUCUAGUGGUCUGAGACAGGUGGUAGAUUACUCAGCUGUUCUAGUGGUCUGAGACAGGUGUUAGAUUACUCAGAUGUUCUAGUGGUCUGAGACAGGUGGUAGAUUACUCAGCUGUUCUAGUGGUCUGAGGCAGGUGUUAGAUUACUCAGCUGUUCUAGUGGUCUGAGGCAGGUGUUAGAUUACUCAGCUGUUCUAGUGGUCUGAGACAGGUGUUAGAUUACUCAGCUGUUCUAGUGGUCUGAGACAGGUGGUAGAUUACUCAGCUGUUCUAGUGGUCUGAGGCAGGUGUUAGAUUACUCAGCUGUUCUAGUGGUCUGAGGCAGGUGGUAGAUUACUCAGCUGUUCUAGUGGUCUGAGGCAGGUGUUAGAUUACUCAGCUGUUCUAGUGGUCUGAGGCAGGUGGUAGAUUACUCAGCUGUUCUAGUGGUCUGAGACAGGUGUUAGAUUACUCAGCUGUUCUAGUGGUCUGAGGCAGGUGUUAGAUUACUCAGCUGUUCUAGUGGUCUGAGGCAGGUGGUAGAUUACUCAGCUGUUCUAGUGGUCUGAGACAGGUGUUAGAUUACUCAGCUGUUCUAGUGGUCUGAGGCAGGUGUUAGAUUACUCAGCUGUUCUAGUGGUCUGAGGCAGGUGGUAGAUUACUCAGCUGUUCUAGUGGUCUGAGGCAGGUGUUAGAUUACUCAGCUGUUCUAGUGGUCUGAGGCAGGUGUUAGAUUACUCAGCUGUUCUAGUGGUCUGAGUCAGGAGGUGUUAGAUUACUCAGCUGUUCUAGUGGUCUGAGGCAGGUGUUAGAUCAAUCAGCUGUUCUAGUGGUCUGAGGCAGGUGUUAGAUCAAUCAGCUGUUCUAGUGGUCUGAGGCAGGUGUUAGAUCAAUCAGCUGUUCUAGUGGUCUGAGGCAGGUGGUAGAUUACUCAGCUGAUCUAGUGGUCUGAGGCAGGUGGUAGAUUACUCAGCUGUUCUAGUGGUCUGAGGCAGGUGGUAGAUUACUCAGCUGUUCUAGUGUUCUGAGGCAGG